UCUUUACAAUCAAUUCUUUGCACAUCCCAGAUUUGGGAGCCGUUGCUGUAUGAAACUCAGGGUUGAGUUUUGUUCUAGCUCUACCUUUUGUUUUUUACAUAUAUCAUUUUUUAACGUUUUAUUUAAGUAAUCUCUACACCCAAGGCAGAGCUUGAACUCAUGACCCCAAGAUCAAGAGUUGGAUGCUCCUCAGACUGAGCCAAUCAGAUGCCCCUACCUUUUGUGUUUUUUUAUGACAGCUGUGUAACUUGAGAUAAACUGGAGAUAAUAACUUAACAAAAUUGCAUCCGAACAUGAUUGGUAUUCCUAAAAAAAAAAAAGGUGGUUAAUUCUCUUGUGCCUUCUUUUGGUUAAGUGUUCUAUAGUCCACUUGGAACCAUCUUUUAAAUUCACAGGUGAAGUCAGUCCUAGAGGCCACUUUUAGGCAACAGGCUUGAGCAAUGGAAACCUGAGUAAGGUAUAAGGUGACCACCCAGCUGAAUGCAAACAGGCACAUUAGGCAACCAACCUCAAAACAGCCAUAGACCCUAGCUGACUAAUGGGCUACUUGCAACCAGGUACAGGUACCAAAAAGGGAAAAUUCUAUAUGUUGCCAUACUUCCUCACUCCCUCCCCCUUAAGUACAGCCCUCCUCCACUGCCUUCUGACAGGCUCUCCUUUGCUGUCCUGCCCGCUGCUCUCUUGCAGUGUAUUCAGUAAAUGUCUAUCUCCUUUGUUCUGCCUUGGGUGAAUUCUUUCACCUCCUGCACUACCAGCCUCCACCCAAUCUGGAGGCCCCACAUCAGCCUUCAGUCAAGUGGUUGUUCUCUGCUGCCCCAUCAUCUUGCACAGUGCUUGCCAAGAGUAGGUGCUAAAAUAAGUGUCUGUUGAAUGAAAGAAAGAAUUGUCCCAAGACCCCCUGCAUAGACUGCCUAGAGCUCAAACUGGGAAGCUUUUAGUAAGAUCUGAAGCCCUAUUUGGUCAGCCAUUAAACUUUGGAAAUGAGA